rnacentral:rRNA from 1 species
GACGAACGCUGGCGGCGUGCUUAACACAUGCAAGUCGAGCGGUAAGGCUCCUUCGGGAGUCCACGAGCGGCGAACGGGUGAGUAACACGUGAGUAAUCUGCCCUUCACUUCGGGAUAACCACCGGAAACGGUGGCUAAUACCGAAUACGACCAGUCUUCGCAUGAGGUGCUGGUGGAAAGUCUUUUCGGUGAAGGAUGUGCUCGCGGCCUCUCAGCUUGUUGGUGGGGUAAUGGCCUACCAAGGCUUCGACGGGUAGCCGGCCUGAGAGGGUGACCGGCCAGACUGGGACUGAGACACGGCCCAGACUCCUACGGGAGGCAGCAGUGGGGAAUAUUGGACAAUGGGCGAAAGCCUGAUCCAGCAACGCCGCGUGAGGGAUGACGGCCUUCGGGUUGUAAACCUCUUUCAGUACCGACGAAGCGCCCUGUCGGGUGGUGACGGUAGGUACAGAAGAAGGACCGGCCAACUACGUG